CUAUUCAUUACACAUUUCGUUCCAAGACUGAGCGGCACCGCAUAUCCCUCCCUACCAGGUGAAUAUAUCAUUACAACUCCCAAUUUUCUGAAGACAGAGCAAAAUUGCUGAAAAAUCGAAAUGGGGGAAGACUUGAUUAGAAAUCUACCAUCAGAAGUCAUAUUAGAUAUCCUCUCAAGACUCGAUGCUUGGACCCCUACGAGGGGCAAGUGUGUUUGUAAGCUAUGGCUCGAUUGGCUCACUACUCCCGAAUUUGUCAAGUCCCAUCUUUCUAAAUCAGUCCCUGGCCUCCUUGUGGAGCUUGGACAAUGGACGACCUUUAAAUACAAAAUGGUGGAGUUUGUAGAUGAGCCCGAUCUCAAUUGUUAUCGGAAUCGAUUGAAUACAGUCUUCAAAUUGGACCUCCCUUUUUGCAACCCAAAUCAUCUUCAUAGUUCAAUUAAUGGUUUGAUGCUUCUGAUAGACUUUGCAAUCCAAUCACUCGUGAGUAUAUCAAGUUUCGUCGUCCCCAACCACCUCCCCCUGGAAUUCCGUGGGAGAUUUUUGGAUUUGGAUUGAGCAGAAUGAGUGGCCAAUAUAAAGUGGUUAGGAUUUCUGCUGGAAACCCUCGACAAGAACCUUCCAUUUCAAGAUCCGGUGAACUUGAGUGCCAAGUAUACACUAUUGGAUCAAGAUCGUGGAGAAGACUCGCCAGUUGUAUCUGGUCCACACAUCUUCCGUACAAUUUGACAAUGAUAUUUUUAUGCGGAAAUCUCCACUGGUGGACACGUAAGGAUGUUUUCUCCCCGAGACAAAUA